GACGAACGCUGGCGGCGUGCUUAACACAUGCAAGUCGAACGGAAAGGCCCUGCUUUUGUGGGGUGCUCGAGUGGCGAACGGGUGAGUAAAACGUGAGUAACAUGUCCUUGACUUUGGGAUAACUUCAGGGAAAAGGGGCGAAUAUCCGAUAGGAGCUCCUGCUGCGCAUGGGGGGUUGGAAAGAGUCGGCGGUUGGGGAUGGAAUCGCGGCUUACCCGCUUGUUGGUGGGGUAGGGGCUGACCAAGGCUUUGACGGGUAGCCGGCCUGAGAGGGUGACCGGCCACAUUGGGACUGAGAUACGGCCCAGACUCCUACGGGAGGCAGCAGUGGGGAAUAUUGCACAAUGGGCGGAAGCCUGAUGCAGCAACGCCGCGUGCGGGAUGACGGCCUUCGGGUUGUAAACCGCUUUCGCCUGUGACGAAGCGUGAGUGACGGUAAUGGGUAAAGAAGCACCGGCUAACUACGUG
rnacentral:rRNA from 1 species